UACGUAGGGUGCGAGCGUUAAUCGGAAUUACUGGGCGUAAAGCGUGCGCAGGCGGUUCGCUGUGUCCGAUGUGAAAGCCCCGGGCUUAACCUGGGAAUGGCAUUGGAAACUGGCGGGCUUGAGUGCGGCAGAGGGGGGUGGAAUUCCGCGUGUAGCAGUGAAAUGCGUAGAGAUGCGGAGGAACACCGAUGGCGAAGGCAGCCCCCUGGGUCGACACUGACGCCUCAGGCACGAAAGCGUGGGGAGCAAACAGG
rnacentral:rRNA from 1 species